rnacentral:rRNA from 1 species
UGGGGAAUAUUGGGCAAUGGGCGCAAGCCUGACCCAGCAACGCCGCGUGAAGGAAGAAGGCUUUCGGGUUGUAAACUUCUUUUGUCGGGGACGAAACAAAUGACGGUACCCGACGAAUAAGCCACGGCUAACUACGUGCCAGCAGCCGCGGUAAUACGUAGGUUGCAAGCGUUAUCUGGAUUUAUUGGGUGUAAAGGGCGUGUAGGCGGGAUUGCAAGUCAGAUGUGAAAACUGGGGGCUCAACCUCCAGCCUGCAUUUGAAACUGUAGUCCUUGAGUGCUGGAGAGGCAAUCGGAAUUCCGUGUGUAGCGGUGAAAUGCGUAGAUAUACGGAGGAACACCAGUGGCGAAGGCGGAUUGCUGGACAGUAACUGACGCUGAGGCGCGAAAGCGUGGGGAGCAAACAGG